rnacentral:lncRNA from 1 species
ACGCGAUAUACAGUAUCUACAAAACGUUUGAAGAUAAGGAAUACUUUGUUCAAAGCGUCUAAAGUACAGAACUAUAAAACACAAAACCAGCUGGUACAGUGGAAAAUAUGAGUUCCUCAAUUCUAAAAAGAAGUUUAGAGCUAUUCAAUGAAGAAGACGACGUAGGAAGAGGUAUUAACGAUUUCAGUGAUGUAAAAAGUAAAGACAACAUUUUAGAUAAAGAAUAAGAAACAAAUUUAAGUCCUUAUAAAUGUUUGGUGCAGUCGAGAAAGUUAAUGCGGAUCUACCAACGUCCCUAUCUGUUCAACCAAAUUUUACAAUUUUCACAGCUUUCUAAAUAUUUUACCUCAAGUUUAACUUCAUAGAAACCAGGUAUAUCCUGAAUUAUACAUGUAUCAUGCAGCUUUCUACAUGCCAAUUCAUGGUCACCGAUUUGACUCAAAUUCUUAUAUUUGAUUUAUAACAAUGUAAAAUAUUUAUCCAAACUAUCAAAAGUCUAAAAUAAACAGUUUACAGAGCAUGGGGUAGAUAAUAUAUAGGUUCGUUUCGUGUGUAUUUUAGUCCAGCCGCCAUCUAAUUACCUAUCGAUUUGACCUUAGAUGACCAUAUUAUAAGCGAUGUAAACAUAAAUAAAGAUAUGAAUAGAUUAAACCAAAACGUGGAUUUGAUUUUUAUAGGUCUGUUUGAUUUUAUUUUAUAGAUUAAAAAUAGAUGUUUCUCAUUGUUUUGAACUGUAUAAGAAUGAUUUUAUGUGCAUAGAAUUAGUAAUCGAAUGAUUAACCAUAGUUUCACUUUCAUUGUUGACAUUCUUUUUCUUUAAAUAACCAGUACACGUACAAUGUAUGCGUUGUCAAUCUCUAGCUAGGGGUUAAAUUGAAGUUCACAUGAAUACGGAUUUAAAGAGGUCGACUCAUUCACUUGCAAGUGAAUUACUAAUUAUCAAUGUUUCUUAGCGUAAUUUGACAAAAUUGAACCUUUUUGGCUGCAAAAAGCGAAUUGUUAUUUCACUAUUUCACUUUCAUUAUUGAUUGAACAGACUAUAGUCAAACUUUAGAUUUUUUAUAUAUCUCGUAGCUAGUGCCCCUUUAAAAUCAUAUAAAAAAGAAAAGGUCUUCCGAAUAGUGGUACCACUAAAAAUAACCCCUGAUUUUCUGGAAACCUUAAAUUAGUGUACUAUGGAGUGCAUUAAUCCUCAAUUUUGAUUGCAAACUCAUAAACAAGUAAAUUUUAACUCAAAAUGGUCUUAAUAUAUUUCUCUUUCACCAAAAGUUUCAUUUCUGCCAAUUUGUUUGUUAGUUUAAAUAAACAAUGACAUCAAAUGCACUAUUUUUUGUCCGAGUAGGCCUACUUUCACAUAUGUUCUAAAUUUGAGGGAGUAAUUGGUGGUCUGACACCUUUUAGACCACCAAUUACUCCCUCAAAUUUAGAACGUAUGUUAAAGUAGCCCUAAUUUUUCAGAAAAAAAAGUGGGGGCAAACUGGCCUACUAUAGUCAUGCUUAAGUGAUUCCCUAUAUAAUCAACAAAAUUUUCCCAGAACAAAAGGGGGGGAUGGGCCUGAGGGCCCUGCACUCUCCCCAAAAUCACCGUUGAAAACGUUAAAAAUUAAAUAAGAAGUCAUAUAUACUAUAAUACUACUAGGGAUUUUAGUUGAAACAUCAUUUUUAAUGUACACAAACAAAAAAGCUACAUCAAGUCAUGUUUUUUUGUUAUAAGUCAAAGAAUUAAAUAAAAACUUUAUAAUUAGAUUAGUCUAGGUGGUCAUGUGGUCCAGAGCACUAGAAACAGUACUAGUGCAGCUGGUAUCUCAAAUUCAAAUCCUGGCAAGGGAAGAACCAAAAUUUGCAUUUGUAAAUUUGCAGAUUUAACAUUUUGUGCUGAUAUAUACAGUAUUAUAUAUUUCUAAAAAUAUAUUUAAAAGAAAAGCAUCCUGAGCACAUGAUACAUGUAUGCCUGUCACAGAAUAUAAGUUCCUUCAUAAUAUAAGUUCCAAAAGGAAAUAAUAUUCUGGAAUACUAUUUCCACAGAAAUAAAUAUUACAGUAUAUGUUCCUAACGGAAUAAAUAGUAUAGAAUAUUUGUUCCAACUGGAAUAGGUAUUAUGACAUUGUUUAUAACAAAGUUUCAAGUGGAACUUCUGUUAGGUGGAACAAAUGUACAUUGACAUGUGUCUGUCUGUCUGUUGUCUUUUAACUUGUUUUUAAUCCUUUCAAUGAAUAUAUAUUAUUCAUAUUAACCAGGAAAACUGUGAGCACUGCUCAAAUAACUCCCCUUCCACAAAAAAAACCCAAAAUGAUCCCCCUACACUCCCUCCCCCCCCCCCCAAAAAAAAAAAAAAACCAACAAAAAAACCCAAUAUGCACACACAGUGGUACCCAUUGACAACAGACAGACAAACAGACAACAGUAUACCAUAAUAUGAUAUGUGAACAGGUGUAUGAAAAUUAUGUUUCUUUGAUCGUACUAAAUAGUAACUAUGAAUCAACAAUUUUUUAGCAAAGAAGGGUGAAAUAGGGUUUAAAAGUUAUAAAACCAAACUUUUUGUAUCAAAACUAACCUCCCCCUUGUUUCAAAUACAAAGGCUUUGGACAUAUAUAUGUAUGAAGAAAGAGUACAGGAAAAUUGAAAACACAUCAUAAACACAGACAAGAAGCCUUUCAUUUAUAUUAUCUCCCUAUGUGUUCUUAAAAUUCCCAACCCUUACACCAUGUAUACAUUUAAUAAUUUUUCCCUUUAUUUAACCACUUAUGGUUGAAUUAUGUGUAUCUAAUAUCUUACAUAUGAGAUGAACCGAUGUUUGCUCAUAAUAUUUCAUUUUCCUCCACUGCGUUAUCAUGUGUCCAAAGACUUGGCAUUUGUUAGUUCCAGUAAAAAAAAAAGCCCAAUCCAGAUGACCUGAAAAAGGUCCUCCCUCCCCUUAGGCCCUCACACAAGUUUAUUAAAAAGUGUCUAUUAUCUGAGCUGAACAAUCACAUUAUAAUGUAUAUAUAUAUAUAUUUAUAUAUACGUCUACAUGUACCCAUAUCACAUCAGAUACAUUUGAAAUUUCAUUAUUUUACACUACACGACCUGAAAAUGAGAUUUCGUUUUCUGAAAAGAGACAUUGUAUUUUAUAAGUUUGUUAUCACUCUCACAAUAUUUUAUCAUAACUGCUCUAUGAUGUUUAAAGACACAUAAACACUAGAUACAAUAUCAAAUCCUGCUUCUGCUACUUUCUUGUCAGAGUAAGGUUUUCUUCACAUUAAAUAGCACAGAGCAGACCAGGGAGAAUCGUGGAUGAUAGGAACUGUUCAAAUUAUUCAAGAAUGAAUUAAUAUACGUUUUAAGUAAUGAAUAUAAUUAGUUUAUUAUCUAUUUUUGUUGGACAUUCUAGUAUUUCAGGAAACAGAAUUCAAUAAACUGUCAAUAAUAAUGAGUGUAACUCAAUGACAUAUUUGCCACUGUCUGCAAAUUUCAUUAGUAAAUCAGACUACAAAUAAUGCUGAGUUUGAUUGAUUGAUUGCAUCUUGCUUUGAUAUAUUUAUUGUUAAGUAACUCUGAGUUUAAAAUAAUUGAUUGAAAGUCUUAAGUUUGAAUAUUUUAUGGAAAACUGAUUGCUAUAUAUAAAAUACUAUUAAAUAGACAGAGAAAAAUGCUAUUAAUAAAUGACUAAAAAGGUAGGUAAUGCCAAAACACACAAUUUCAUGAAUUAAUAGCACUUAGCAAUAAUUUAUACCUCUUAAAAAACCAUUGGAUCUAUCAGGUUUUGAGAACUGCAUGUGUAUAUAUCAGUAUUUUCUCUUUAACAUGUUUAAUGAACAUGUAUCUGUCAAAGGGAAUGACUAUUAUGACUAUUGUCAAAAUAUUGUAAUUGAAGUUAAGUUUGACCGGUUUGAUGCCCUUAAAUAGUAGAUACUUAUAUAUUAGCCAGCCUGGUAAGCAGUUGAGUUACCUAUGUGCUUCUUUAGCUUAAUCAGAUUGUGAGGGCUGACUUGUAACAGAGGUCCCGUGUUAAUGUUUGGAAGGAAGCAAGGUCAUUUGUAACGUUCUAUGGUUACAUUCAUGAGUAUUGAAGUAAUACAACCGUAAUUGUCUGAAAUGCCUAUGUCCUAGUUUAAAAAAAUACAUUUUAACCAUUUACAUCUUCAAAAAUGACUUUGAUUUAACUAAAAAUUGUUCAACAAAAGUUCUCUUUAUAAAUCAGCUUUUAAAAGUAAGUUGCAGAAACUUGUGCGUAGUUUCAUAUUAUUUUGAAAAUAGAAAGUUUUAAAUCUGACAUGUUUUUCUGUUCCAAUGUUCCAGGUAAUCAAAAAAAGAUGACAAAAGCUUCAAGUACGCGGAAAAUAGAUUCUGAGAAAGGAAGGUACAAGAAAAAGACAAACACUAAAAAGAAAAGACAUAACAAAGAUGGUAA